UUUCUCUUUCACACACCAACUCCCCACACCAUUCCCUGAACAACAUUCACUCUUACACACAGAUCUGGAGCGAAAAUCCCAUGCAUGCAUUCAUUUGCUUUCCAUUUAAAUUCUUCUUCUCCUUCCCUGUAAUAUUAGCAUCUCCACUUUCUAAUCUCCCCUCUUCUACCAACCUCCACACAAAUAUCACUUCCCUGUAACUACCAUUGAAACACUUCUAGACUAAACCCAACCUCCUUUCACUAUCAUUCUCUUUCUUCUCACUUUACUUUAUUUUCUUUGUUAACACUACCUACCCUACAUUAAGCUCAC
rnacentral:lncRNA from 1 species